rnacentral:rRNA from 1 species
AUUGAACGCUGGCGGCAUGCCUUACACAUGCAAGUCGAACGGUAACAGGUCUUCGGAUGCUGACGAGUGGCGAACGGGUGAGUAAUACAUCGGAACGUGCCUAGUAGUGGGGGAUAACUACUCGAAAGAGUGGCUAAUACCGCAUGAGAUCUACGGAUGAAAGCAGGGGAUCGCAAGACCUUGCGCUACUAGAGCGGCCGAUGGCAGAUUAGGUAGUUGGUGGGAUAAAAGCUUACCAAGCCGACGAUCUGUUGCUGGUCUGAGAGGACGAUCAGCCACGCUGGGACUGAGACACGGCCCAGACUCCUACGGGAGGCAGCAGUGGGGAAUUUUGGACAAUGGGCGAAAGCCUGAUCCAGCAAUGCCGCGUGCAGGAUGAAGGCCUUCGGGUUGUAAACUGCUUUUGUACGGAACGAAAAGCCCCGGGUUAAUACCCUGGGGUCAUGACGGUACCGUAAGAAUAAGCACCGGCUAACUACGUGCCAGCCGCCGCCGUAA